UAGCUUGCUGCCGGUCCACUGAUGAUGCUCACCUGCAGGACUCAGCCCACCCAAUUUCUACCUGGAUCUUGUACUGGGGUGUGGGUGCCCCCCGCAGGAUUGCUUCCCCCAGGGGUCUGUGCUGAGGUACAAGAUCACCAGACUUACCUAGGGCAAAUGAAAGAAGUACAGCCAGGCAGGAUCUGAACUGUAUUGACCAGGGAAGUGAAAGUCAAAACUGUAGAGGUGGUUCCAAGCAUCAAGUUUGGUGAAGGAUGAGGUGAGAUGUCAACAGCAAGAUGCAUCAGCAGAGCAGAAGGAAGAAGGAAGCAGAACCCAAGGCAGCUUGAGGCAAGUUGACCAGAAGAGAGGAUAUGAAAUGGAUGGACGUGUCAGAGGUCCAUUUCUACUUGACGGAGACAAAUCCUCAAGGAGACAUUGUAAUUUCCUUUGAAAUAUUGGAAAGCAGCAAUCAUGUGGACUGUAGAGUAAGACGGGCCAGGAUGGAAUCCCAGUCAGGCUUCUCUGUGACCUAGAGCUCCUGCAGCCCAUUAACCUUCCUUUAAUUUUCUUUAACACUGGGAUAACAACCAGAAAGCCAUAGAGCUAUUGAGAGGAGCUAACACAGGUAAUCUGGCUCUAGGAAGACUCAAGGAUUACUUGUGGAAUUUAAACAAAGUGAACCAGAUCUUAAUCCCAGUGUAUUUUAAUUCCAAGUUUGGUUUGUUUCUCCCUGAUGAGUUACCACCAACCCCAAUGAGAUUGACAGAAAAUGCUCUUUGGUUACUUAUUCUUCCAAAUAUCCUUUCCUUCUCUUUAAAAAAUAUAAUAACACAUCUGGGAUAUAUUAUAUGGUGGUAUAUAUUUCAGUCUAUGUUUCUGCUAAUGCCUUAGUAAAUAGAAAACGCAUGAAUGUUGACUGCUCAAAUACAGUAGCCGCUAGUCAGCCUCAAGUGAGGCUGAAUAUGAAGUUAAACAUUGCAAGAGUAAAAAUAAGUGGGUCUAUCAAAAGUGGAACACUAUCCCCAGUAGUAUCUGAAUCACUUUUUAUAAUUAAGAUAAUGCUCUUAACCUCCUCCUACUGCUUAGAAUAAAGAAAGUUAUAAAAGUCUAUGAUGUUCUUAUUUAUAUCAAAGGAGAGUGUAUCAGUUAGCAACACUUCUGGAUGUUAAUAUCAGUACAUUUAACUGACAGUGGAUUAAACCAACAGAAGAGUAUUUUGUUAUUGUUUUCAUAUUUUCUUAAACAGAAACCUUAGUCGAGGGCCAGCAUCUCUGUGAUUUUCUUGGUUUUCCCUCAUGGUUGUAGAAAGCUGCCCUGGAACCAGACAUC
rnacentral:lncRNA from 10 species